rnacentral:rRNA from 1 species
ACGAACGCUGGCGGCGUGCUUAACACAUGCAAGUCGAACGGAAAGGCCCUGCUUUUGUGGGUUGCUCGAGUGGCGAACGGGUGAGUAACACGUGAGUAACCUGCCCUUGACUUUGGGAUAACUUCAGGAAACUGGGGCUAAUACCGGAUAGGAGCUCCUGCUGCAUGGUGGGGGUUGGAAAGUUUCGGCGGUUGGGGAUGGACUCGCGGCUUAUCAGCUUGUUGGUGGGGUAGUGGCUUACCAAGGCUUUGACGGGUAGCCGGCCUGAGAGGGUGACCGGCCACAUUGGGACUGAGAUACGGCCCAGACUCCUACGGGAGGCAGCAGUGGGGAAUAUUGCACAAUGGGCGGAAGCCUGAUGCAGCAACGCCGCGUGCGGGAUGACGGCCUUCGGGUUGUAAACCGCUUUCGCCUGUGACGAAGCGUGAGUGACGGUAAUGGGUAAAGAAGCACCGGCUAACUACGUG